rnacentral:miRNA from 1 species
UGUGUGUGUAUAUAUAUAUGUGUGUGUGUGUAUAUGUAUGUGUAUAUGUAUACAUAUAUAUUCCAUUAGUUCUGUACAUAUAUAUACACACACAUAUAUAUACAUGUAUGUAUACA